rnacentral:rRNA from 1 species
AUGGGGUGACUGCGUACCUUUUGUAUAAUGGGUCAGCGACUUAUAUUCUGUAGCAAGGUUAACCGAAUAGGGGAGCCGAAGGGAAACCGAGUCUUAACUGGGCGUUAAGUUGCAGGGUAUAGACCCGAAACCCGGUGAUCUAGCCAUGGGCAGGUUGAAGGUUGGGUAACACUAACUGGAGGACCGAACCGACUAAUGUUGAAAAAUUAGCGGAUGACUUGUGGCUGGGGGUGAAAGGCCAAUCAAACCGGGAGAUAGCUGGUUCUCCCCGAAAGCUAUUUAGGUAGCGCCUCGUGAAUUCAUCUCCGGGGGUAGAGCACUGUUUCGGCAAGGGGGUCAUCCCGACUUACCAACCCGAUGCAAACUGCGAAUACCGGAGAAUGUUAUCACGGGAGACACACGGCGGGUGCUAACGUCCGUCGUGAAGAGGGAAACAACCCAGACCGCCAGCUAAGGUCCCAAAGUCAUGGUUAAGUGGGAAACGAUGUGGGAAGGCCCAGACAGCCAGGAUGUUGGCUUAGAAGCAGCCAUCAUUUAAAGAAAGCGUAAUAGCUCACUGGUCGAGUCGGCCUGCGCGGAAGAUGUAACGGGGCUAAACCAUGCACCGAAGCUGCGGCAGCGACACUAUGUGUUGUUGGGUAGGGGAGCGUUCUGUAAGCCUGCGAAGGUGUACUGUGAGGUAUGCUGGAGGUAUCAGAAGUGCGAAUGCUGACAUAAGUAACGAUAAAGCGGGUGAAAAGCCCGCUCGCCGGAAGACCAAGGGUUCCUGUCCAACGUUAAUCGGGGCAGGGUGAGUCGACCCCUAAGGCGAGGCCGAAAGGCGUAGUCGAUGGGAAACAGGUUAAUAUUCCUGUACUUGGUGUUACUGCGAAGGGGGGACGGAGAAGGCUAUGUUGGCCGGGCGACGGUUGUCCCGGUUUAAGCGUGUAGGCUGGUUUUCCAGGCAAAUCCGGAAAAUCAAGGCUGAGGCGUGAUGACGAGGCACUACGGUGCUGAAGCAACAAAUGCCCUGCUUCCAGGAAAAGCCUCUAAGCAUCAGGUAACAUCAAAUCGUACCCCAAACCGACACAGGUGGUCAGGUAGAGAAUACCAAGGCGCUUGAGAGAACUCGGGUGAAGGAACUAGGCAAAAUGGUGCCGUAACUUCGGGAGAAGGCACGCUGAUAUGUAGGUGAAGUCCCUCGCGGAUGGAGCUGAAAUCAGUCGAAGAUACCAGCUGGCUGCAACUGUUUAUUAAAAACACAGCACUGUGCAAACACGAAAGUGGACGUAUACGGUGUGACGCCUGCCCGGUGCCGGAAGGUUAAUUGAUGGGGUUAGCGCAAGCGAAGCUCUUGAUCGAAGCCCCGGUAAACGGCGGCCGUAACUAUAACGGUCCUAAGGUAGCGAAAUUCCUUGUCGGGUAAGUUCCGACCUGCACGAAUGGCGUAAUGAUG